CCUAUUUUAACCCGUCAAAAACCGAAUUUAAGUAUGGCCGUAAAUCCGUGAUCAUCUCUAAAAAAAUAAUUAAAACAAAACACAAAGUUUCAUAUGUGGCUGGCCACACCAUGCGGCCAGCCACAAUAUGAAGCCCAAUCCGGCACGCGCUCCGUUUUAGGCCCAGUCCAACUUUCUAAUUGUAACGAAGUUUGGAAAAUAACGGAGUUCCCGUUUUAACUUUAAAUUUUUUUUUUCUUUUUUUUGUGUAAACCGCCAUUUUGGGAUUGUCACUUCACUUCCCUGAAUAUUGUCUUUUCAUUUCCUUCUUUCUCAAUUUCUCUUUCUUCUUUGAUUUCUCUUUCCUCCAUUAAUCUACUUCAUUUUAAUUUUCUUUCUCCAUUAAUCUUCUCAUAAUUCAAUGGCGGAACUCAAAAUUGUUUAUGGUAAAAGUAGCAGCAAAGGUUCUUCUUCGAAUAAAAAUGGCGAUGAUUAUGGCUCUGUUAUGAUCAAAGAUGGUGACGAUUCAGGAUGGCAGUGAUUCAGUGAAACAAAUGCAGCCUGCAGUUUGUGGGACCCCAAAGACACGAGGAUAUUUGAUCAUGAUUGUAUUAUUGGGAUAUAUUGCUAACACCUAAGUUGAUAUUGUCUACAUUUAUAAUUAGGUGAUCCACUCAAAUAGUGAUCAGCAAGUGUACCUACCUUGAUUUAUUAUUUGACGGUUAGAAGUUGUGUUGUUGAUAAUUAUACUUAUUAGACAUGAGUGCAUGACCUUCGUUUAUUAUGUGUGUAAUGUGUCCCCUAAUAUAGAAAUAAUAAGGUGAGACCGAGGCCAAUUAAAUUUUACGGGUUAAAGACUAGAAUAGACUCGGUCUACAAGAACUUAUUGUAGACCCAACCUUCUAGUAUACCAUAUGAAUGUGAUUAUAUUAUACGAAAUGUGAUUAUAUUACUACAAAAGUGAUUAUAUCAUCCUGAAAUUGUUAUGUAAAUGUAUCACUCAAAAAGUGAAUUUAUCAUUAUAAAAAGUAUCAAAUAGUAAAUUACAUCAUUCAAAAGAUGAUUUUUAAAUUUUAUCAUCC